rnacentral:rRNA from 1 species
AACCUGGUUGAUCCUGCCAGUAGUCAUAUGCUUGUCUCAAAGAUUAAGCCAUGCAUGUCUAAGUACAAGCCUCAUUAAGGUGAAACCGCGAAUGGCUCAUUAAAUCACACCUAAUGUACUGGACAGUCUCAGUUACUUGGAUAACUGCGGUAAUUCUGGAGCUAAUACAUGCGUAUUAGCCGCGACUCACGGAGCGGUGCUUUUAUUAGAUCAAAACCAAACGGCCUCGAGCCGUCCCCCUGGUGAUUCUGAAUAACUUUGGGCUGAUCGCACGGACUCGUUCCGGCGACGUGUCCUUCCAAGGUGUGCCCUAUCAACUGUCGACUGUGGCAUAGACGCCCACAGUGGUUUUGACGGGUAACGGGGAAUUAGGGUUCGAUUCCGGAGAGGGAGCCUGAGAAACGGCUACCACUUCUACGGAAGGCAGCAGGCACGCAAAUUACCCACUGGCCGCAGGCCGAGGUAGUGACGAAAAAUAACGAUACCGGACUCGUCCGAGGCCCGGUAAUCGGAAUGAGUACACUUUAAAUCCUUUAACGAGGAACAAUUGGAGGGCAAGUCUGGUGCCAGCAGCCGCGGUAAUUCCAGCUCCAAUAGC